AACGCGAAGAACCUUACCAGGGAUUGACAUGACGGUAGUAGUGAAGCGAAAGCGGAACGACCCUUCGGGGAGCCGUCACAGGUGAUGCAUGGCUGUCGUCAGCUCGUGCCGUGAGGUGUUUGGUUAAGUCCACUAACGAGCGCAACCCCUAGUGCCAGUUACAAGUGUCUGGCGCGACUGCCGGUAUUAAGCCGGAGGAAGGUGGGGAUGACGUCAAGUCAGCAUGUCCUUUAUACCCUGGGCGACACACACGCUACAAUGGCCAGCACAAUGGGUCGCCAAGCCGUGAGGCGGAGCCAAUCCUAAAAAGCUGGUCUCAGUUCGGAUUGCAGGCUGCAACCCGCCUGCAUGAAGUCGGAGUUGCUAGUAACCGCAGGACAGCUAUACUGCGGUGAAUACGUUCCCGGGCCUUGUACACACCG
rnacentral:rRNA from 1 species